UCAAAGGAAGCAGAGACGACAACAAGUAAAGAGAACUAACACAGAGAGGGGGGUGAGAGACAGACCGUGUGCGACCAUGGACUUGGGAGUAUCGGCGUUUCGCGCCGUGCUGCCGUGUCUUGGGAAGCUGCUCAAGCACGAGUGGGGCUUGAAGGAGAAGGUGAAGAAUGGGGUGAAGAGCCUCCAGAUCGAGCUGGAGAGAAUGGAACCUGCCCUCGCGAAGAUCUCCAGCACGCCGCCGGACAAGCUUGACCCGCAGGUGAAGCCCUGGGCCGGCGAGGUCAGCGAGCUGUCGUACGACAUGCAGACGCGCCUCCACACCUUCAUGGUGCACAUCGAGCACCUCGAGUCGACCAAAGGCACCCUCCGUUCUCCCGUGAGCAAGUUCGCCAAGUGGAAGAUUAACCAUGAGAUAGCCAGCUACAUCUCUAAAAUAAUGGCCAAGAUUAAGGAGGUGAGUGAGCGGCAUGCCAGGUAUCUCCAUAGGUUAAUGGAAACUACUCCCACAGAGAAAGUGAACUCUCGUAUCAUUGCCCUGUGCACCAAGGAAUCUGACCCUGUUGGCAUAGAUGGGGCAACUGACGAGCUAAUCCAGAUGCUGUCCAAGCUUAAUCAUGUCUCCAUUGUCGGGAUGGGAGGGCUGGGCAAAACCACCCUUGCUCGAGCAGUGUGCAUCAAGAUCAAAGGGGAAUUCGAUUGUGAGGCUCUUGUUCCUAUCGGUCAGUGUGCUUGCCCGGAGAAGGUUCUGAGGGACAUCCUCAUUGAACUUCAGGCAGAGGAUCGUGUUAAUGAACUACAUCACCAAUACCAGCUAAUCAAGAUACUGCGAAAAUUCCUGGUGGAUAAGAGGUGCUUAAUUGUCAUCGAUGAUAUAUGGGAUAAGAAAACCUGGGACUUGAUUAAAUGUGCUUUUGAGGGUAGCGAUGGAAGUAAAAUCAUCAUCACCACUCGUAACCACGACGUUGCCAAAGAAGUUGCUGGCGUUUACACGAUAAAACGACUUUCCAGUCCCAGCUCCAUAGAGUUACUCCGUACCAAAGUAUUUGGUGCUGACACUAAAAGCCCUGGUACUGAUGCCUUGUCUGAAUUUGAUAGUUUGUCAGAUAAAUUUCUGAGAAAAUGUGGUGGUGUGCCAAUAGCUAUCAUUGCUAUAGGUAGCUUGCUUGCUAAUAAACCAUGGCAGAAGUGGUCUGAAGUGUAUAAAUCUAGCGGUCUUGAUCAGGCCAAGAAGGAAGAGGUUCUAGAGAACGUAAGGAUGAUAAUGUCUCUCAGCUAUUAUGAUCUACCCUUGCAUCUGCAGAGUUGUUUUUUGUACCUAGGCCUAUUCCCGGAAAACCAUUGGAUUGAGAAGAAUAUGCUGAUAUGGAGGUGGGUAGCAGAAGGCCUUGUUACUGGUUGUAAUGAACAAAAUGUAGGGUUAUUUGAACUUGGGGAGACCUAUUUCAAGGAGCUAUUAGAUAGGAGCAUGAUCCAGCUGGCGGUUAGUCCUCGUGACCUCGGCCAAGGUGGUUGCCGCGUCCAUGAUCUUAUGAUCAGCCUCAUCCGAGAGAUAAGCAAGACAAAGAACUUCUGCAUGGUUGUAGGCAGUAAGCUGCAGGAGAGCACAUCUGAAACCAGAACCAUUCACAGAUUAGCCAUCCACAGAAGCGGAGCAAGUGUGGACCAAAUUCAAGACACUAGGCUGGAAGUGGGGAAUGUGAUGUCAUUUUAUGCCAGAGGGUGCUCCGGUAAGAAAAGCUUGCCUCCACUCUCGAGGUUUGCAAUUAUGCGUGUAGUAGAUUUGGAGAGCUGUGAUUCAUCCGUAGGAGAUUGCAAAAACCUGAAGCAGCUGGAGAAGUUGAUUGAGCUGGAGUACGUUGGGCUUUUGGGCACACCAGUAGCCGAGCUCCCCAAGGAGAUACGGCGCCUCAAGCGCCUACAGACCCUCGACAUGAGGGCUACCGGCAUCAGCGAGCUGCCGUCUUUCGUAGAAGAGCUAACGAAGCUGAGGUGCCUGCGUGCUGGCAAGGGCACGAGGAUGAAGGGCCAUGUAGGGAAGCUGACAUCUCUGGAAGAGCUGUGGCUGCACUCGGCAGACAAGUCCCCGGACUUUGCUGCCGAGCUCCGCAAGCUGACGGAGCUGCGGGUGCUGGUGAUCCACUUGGACAAGAUGGAUGAUCCUCUGCAGAAGUCGCUGGUGGAGUCCUUGUGCUGCCUGAAGAAGGUCCAGGUCCUGCAGGUCUGGUCGGACGCGGCGGAAGGGACGACAGUCCGCCUGGGCAACUGGGAAUGGGAAGGCGACUCGCAGUUGCAGCUCCGGCAGCUGCUGCUGUACGGGAUCACCCUACCCAGGCUGCCGGCAUGGAUCAACGGCUCGCGUGCCCCGGACCUGUCGAGGCUGCUGCUGCAGGUGGAGGCCCUGGAGGAACGGGACCUGAAGAUCCUUGGGCGGAUGCCGCUGCUCCGGUCGCUCUACCUCUACAGCGAGGAGGGCAACCGCCUGUCGUACACCGUGGGCAGUCAAGAGUUCAAGGUGUUGGUAUACCUCAACACCAACAUAGAGCUUGUAUGCGGCGAUGGGGCGCUGCCAGUGAUCCAGGAGCUGGUGGUGGGCGGCAUCAGGGCGGGGAUGGACGUUGGCCUGCAGGGGAACAUGCCUCUGCUGGAGAAGGCCAGCUACGGCCUCGACUGCAAGGGCUGCGGCCCCGUGGAGGUGCGCGAGGCAGAGGAUGCGCUGAGGAAGGCGGGCCGAGCCCACCCCAACCGCCCCACACUCUCCAUCAACAGAUGGAACAACUUUGGAUUGGAGUUCUGCCAAGGAAUUAUCGGGUCUGUGGUCCCGGGGCUUGUGAGGGCAAUCACGGCGCACUCUGACGCACUCGGGGGUGCAGGGGAAGCCGACGUCAGGAGCAUCAUUUUCGGAAGCCCUGAAUUUGCCAAUGCAAUAUCGGACGCUCUAGCUCGGCUUCCUCCGGAAGCUAUUGGAGCACCACCUAAACUCGCAUUGCAUCACACUCAGUAUGGCACGGGCUCUCCAUCCCAGUUUGCAGCAGGUAAAGAAGAAGUCGGCAGCCUGUCGUCUAGCAUCGUCAGCAACCCUGCGUUUAGGGAACUAGUAACAGAUUUUGCAGCUGAAUCAGGAGUUGAUUUACCACCUUAUUUCGUCGACAAGCUGAGCCCCCAAGCAGUGGAUUCUUUAACUGCCUGCAUUCUGGAAGAUAACUAUGUUGCAUUAACUACACUUCUGCAGCAAGUGGUCACCGGUGGUGGUGGCACAAGCAGUUCUUCUACAUCUGAGCAGCGACCAACCGGUCAUUCUGAAGGUGAAGGACAAAUCUCUAGCGAGGACGUGCAAACUUUUCUCAACAGCCCGUUUGGAGCCCAAAUAGUAUCAGAUAUGGCAACUCAAGCAGGAAUCAAUCCAGCUGUUUUGAAGAACGCAUUUGAGAAGUUGCAGCAGGACCCUAAGUUUGUUGAAAGCUUCCAAAAUUUGAACAUCACCCAGAGCCACGACUUUGCUAAAACGGUGCAGCAACUUGCACCAUGCAUUAUUAGUCAUGCAGGGCAAACUAGAACCCUCGACAUAUCUUCGAUGACAUUGCAAAGUGUUUCACUUCACCUGCAAAUUCUUCAAGGAGUACGUGAAGCUUAUUAUGCUCGUACUGCCGCUGGUGGUGCUGAGGGAUGUGGCGACCAAAGCUUUCAUGUUAAGAUCGUGUUGGAUUAUUUCCCUGGUUUGGAAAUAGAGGAUCUAGAUGAUUUCUGGGAAGUGGCGGGGAAGACGAGGCAGAACCCUGAACGACUAGUUGCCUGCAUGAAUAGUAGAGGCUUCGACCAUUCUAGAUUCAUGAAGCUAUGGGUGUCAGAAGCGGUGAGUCAGAUGGCUGAAGAAAGGGACCAAGAAAACUCUGGCGCAGGUGUCAGCCGUGAGCCGCAGCCUGAGGUGGACAUGGACAGCUUGCUCACCUGGCGCAACAACCCGGACGGAGUCGCUUUUAAGAAUGAGAUGCCAGGGCUGUUAGGAAUAAGCCCAGUUGCUUUCUCCAGAAUAUUGGACAAGCAUACGCAGACUCCUGAGAUGAUUGCUAGCCUGAACAGGGCUUUGGCGGAGCUGGGAUUCUUUGGAGGUGGCCCUAUUGCUGCAGAUGGUGCCAGAUGCUAUGGAUCAUAUCCUCGACCAGAACGUGGCCGGGCCAUCCUUGAUGCCUUGUGGUGGAGAACAGGCCAGGGCCGAUGCCAGCGGCAGUUUACUCAGCAACCAGCCCAUUGGCAGCCAAAUGGAAAACAUAAUAAAGGCUCAACCUGGAGGUCAGACCGGGACCAAUGCCAGCAACACGUUCUCCGGAGCCCAUGGCAACCCAGCCAUCGGCAGCCUAAUGGAAAACAUAAUAAAGGCGCAACCCGAAGGAGAGACCGGCGGGGUCGAUGGCAGCAGCAUGUUCUCCGGUUUACUUAGCAACCCGGCCUUCGGCAGCCUAAUGGAAAACGUAACAGCAAGCAUGGCGCAGGGUACGAGUGCAAGUAAUGCGCCGCCGGAGAGUGGGCAAGAAGGUGAGGCCGUCUCCCGGAUGCUGAAGAAAGUGUUACCGGUGGUGGAGCAGGCCCUCGCUGCUGGUGCGAGCAGUGGACAGCCUAGCUCAAAGCUGGACAAUGCCGGGAAGGCGGCCGAGAGAAAAUGACCUUCAAAUCACGAGUUCUUACCAUGAAGGUUGAUGCUUGCUUGGUUGGCAUCGGGCUUUCGGUAGUUCCGUUGCGAGUCGGAAGGCCAAUGAACUUAAUAUGUGGCGUUGUUGAGUCUAUAAAUAUUUUUACAAAAAAAUUUAAAAAUGAAAAAAAAUUGAAAAAAAAAUGAAAACUGAAAAAGAAAAAAAAAACAAAAUCAUUAAAAAAAUUAUUUUGCCAAUUUUUUGGGUGUGUCUUUUUCUUUCUGGGGGAAGGGUGUGUUUGUUUGUUUUUUGUUCUUCUUCUUUCUUUUCAUGUUUUGGUUGGGUGGGUGGGGAACUCCGCCUAUGCCAUUUUAAGUUAAACACUUAUGAUUGUGUAGCCGGUCCCAAGCCCGGAUAAAAGGAGGAGGGACCAACCAUGUGCUCAUGUCGUGGGGAGGGUAAUGUGUUGUGUUUACAAACCCAUUUUAUAGUACACAAAUAACAAUGGCAACUUCCCGUAGGAAGAGUAAAAUAACACAUCAAUUCUCAUAAUAAUUCCCAAAUCAAAAGUUGUUGGGACGGUAAUGUGUUUUGUUGCACUCAUGCAGGUGUUGGGAGAGCCUGAAUCAACACAAUAUUUUAUUAGCAUGUACAGUACUACCUAGAAACAACAUGAGUAGUAUUUAUCAAUGCGUUGACUCCUUCACAGGACACAAUACACUUGUCUUCGCAAUAAAAAAAGGACACAAUACACUUGCUCAACUCCAAGUAAGAUGGGGAACUCUUUCUCAGGCUGGAGAGUUAGAUUCAAGUCAGAUAUUGUUCUUCUUGGGUCUAGGGAGCAUAAGUAAUAUAUUACCACUUUCAUCCACCUUCAGUUUUUCAAAAGUGUCGAAAAACAGCUCUCACCCACCUUGUUCAACCCCCCCUGCAUGGUGACGAACCAGGUCAACCGGGGGUGGCACAAGUUAAGUGUCCGGGCGAGUACCCGACGACAACGGGCAUCAGCAUUAAUGUUUUGAUAUUCUUUGGAGAAAAUGUUCAAAUUUGAAAAGGUAUUGUCUUUAUAGAACUUUUAGGAACCUCAAAAGAACACUAGAACCGCACGAACUAAAAAAUAAUUUAGAUGUAAAUCCAAUAAAAAAAAUACAAGAAAGCUAUACUUAGAAUUAAUCUGCAGAUCUUCCAAUCAUAUCAACCUACCGUCUAUUGAAGAAGUUGAUGAAAUACCAAUAUGGAGGAACAAACAAUGUAACUUGCCUUUAGUAACGACUAAUAUAUGAUAUUAAUAUAUGGUUACGGUCGUCUAGCGCAUACCCAAAACCUCUUUUUGUGAGUUACGUAGUAGUAUUGAAGGGACAUGCUUCAUUUUGGUUCUUGCUUGUUUAUAGUUUUCCUUAUGCACAUAGAAAGAGAAAGUUAAUUGCUGUAGGCAUAGCUGCUUUAUGUUGGACUAUUUGGAGAACUAGAAAUGAAGCUUGUUUUCAAGGGAAUUAUCCUAAAGAUCCUGCUAAUUUAGUAUUUCUUAUGUGUUACUGGUUGAAGUAUUGGGCGGGACUCAGAAGUGUAUGAUGAAGGAGAAGAUUAUCCUAGUUGCCCAGCUUGUCCAGUUGGUUGCUUCGGAAGUUCUCCACUCAAGACAUGGUUGGAGCUUGUAUGAGAGGCGUUUGGCAAAUGGUUGAUUCGGUUUUGAGGACUCAGUACUUCUCUGGUGGCCUUUUGGUCUGUGAUUUGCGCAAAGUCUGUUGGUGCAGGUUGGAGGCCUGUGUCUACGUGUUAUUCCUGUUUUUCUGUUCUGAACUUUGAACUGAACUCUGUAGUCCGAUGGGCCAAGGCUCCUUCGUCUAAAAAAAUCAGUAGUGCAGGAAGGUAGACUGUGUUUGGAGCAACUUACAAGUCCGUUAAUUGGUAUAAAGUUUUGAGCUGCUAUGACACGUGAUAUUUAA